CUUCACCGAGCCGAGCCACAACGGCCGUUCGUCCGGCCGGUCCUGGCCAUACGUGGCGAGCAGCGCCCGCGCCUC
rnacentral:antisense_RNA from 1 species